UAGCAAGUCGACCAAAGGCGAAAGCAGUCAUCAAGGGCACGCCCGUUGAUCAAGAGCGAAAGUUAAGGGUUCGAAGACGAUCAGAUACCGUCGUAGUCUUAACUAUAAAUGAUGCAAACCAGGGAUAGGAUACUGUCCAUCUCGACUCUUCCCGAACCUUAAAGAAAUUAGAGUCUUUGUGUUCUGGGGGGAGUAUGGUCGCAAGGCUGAAACUUAAAGGAAUUGACGGAAGGGCACACAAAGAGUGGAACCUGCGGCUUAAUUUGACUCAACACGGGAAAACUCACCAGGUCCAGAUACACGCAUGAAAGUCAAGCUGAAAGACUUUACUCAAUGAUGUAAGUGGUGGUGCAUGGUCGUUCUUAGUUCGUGGAUUGAUUUGUCUGGUCGAUUCCGAUAACGAGCGAGACCCCGGUGUUCCUAAUAGGGGCCGAAGCCCGUUCGCUGUAACAGGUGGACAGCUAAGGCUUAAGAUGUACUUCUUAGACACAUCAUGGCUGAUAAAGUCAUUGAAAUGGGUUAAUAACAGGUCAGUAAUGCCCUUAGAUGUUCUGGGCCGCACGCGCGUUACAAUGGCAUGUAAAACGAGUGCUUUUUAAGGCGUUUCCUGGGCCUAACGGUUCAGGUAACCCUUAAUCCAUUGCUUUGACUGGGAUAGAUCAUUGCAAUUAUUGGUCUCUAACGAGGAAUUUUUAGUAAGCGUAGGUCAUUAACCUAUGCUUAAUGAGUCCCUGCCCUUUGUACACACCGCC
rnacentral:rRNA from 1 species